rfam:Tropilaelaps mercedesae isolate Wuxi-XJTLT scaffold0000030231, whole genome shotgun sequence.
AAAACGGCCCUUUUUAGGGCCACCACAUUUUG